rnacentral:rRNA from 1 species
UACGGGGGGAGCAAGCGUUGUUCGGCUUUACUGGGCGUCAAGGGCGCGUAGGCGGUCAGCACAGUCCGUUGUGAAAUCUCCGAGCUUAACUCGGAAAGGUCAACUGAUACUGUGCGACUAGAGUGCAGAAGGGGCAACUGGAAUUCUCGGUGUAGCGGUGAAAUGCGUAGAUAUCGAGAGGAACACCUGCGGCGAAGGCGGGUUGCGGGGCUGACACUGACGCUGAGGCGCGAAAGCUAGGGGAGCGAACGGG